GACGAACGCUGGCGGCGUGCUUAACACAUGCAAGUCGAACGGAAAGGCCCUGCUUUUGUGUGGUGCUCGAGUGGCGAACGGGUGAGUAACACGUGAGUAACCUGCCCUUGACUUUGGGAUAACUGCAGGAAACUGGUGCUAAUACCUGAUAGGAGCUCCUGCUGCAUGGUGGUGGUUGGAAAGUUUAGGCGGUUGGGGCUGGACUUGGGGCUUAUGAGCUUGUUGGUGGGGUAGUGGCUUACCAAGGCUUUGACGGGUAGCCGGCCUGAGAGGGUGACCGGCCACAUUGGGACUGCGAUACGGCCCAGACUCCUACGGGAGGCAGCAGUGGGGAAUAUUGCACAAUGGGCGGAAGCCUGAUGCAGCAACGCCGCGUGCGGGAUGACGGCCUUCGGGUUGUAAACCGCUUUCGCCUGUGACGAAGCGUGAGUGACGGUAAUGGGUAAAGAAGCACCGGCUAACUACGUG
rnacentral:rRNA from 1 species